GACGAACGCUGGCGGCGUGCUUAACACAUGCAAGUCGAACGGUGAAGGGAUCAGCUUGCUGGUUCUGGAUGAGUGGCGAACGGGUGAGUAACACGUGAGUAACCUGCCCCCUUCUUCUGGAUAACCGCAUGAAAGUGUGGCUAAUACGGGAUAUUCUGCGCCUGCUGCAUGGUGGGUGUGGGAAAGAUAUUGUUUCGGUGGGGGAUGGGCUCGCGGCCUAUCAGCUUGUUGGUGGGGUGAUGGCCUACCAAGGCGGUGACGGGUAGCCGGCCUGAGAGGGUGGACGGUCACACUGGGACGGAGACACGGCCCAGACUCCUACGGGAGGCAGCAGUGGGGAAUAUUGCACAAUGGGCGCAAGCCUGAUGCAGCGACGCCGCGUGAGGGAUGGAGGCCUUCGGGUUGUGAACCUCUUUCGCCAGUGAAGCAGGCCUGUCCCUUGUGGGUGGGUUGACGGUAGCUGGAUAAGAAGCGCCGGCUAACUACGUG
rnacentral:rRNA from 1 species